rnacentral:sRNA from 1 species
UUAAAUAAAACAGUGAAGUCCUUUUAUUAUCCAGAGAACAGGUACAGCAGGGACAGUGCAAGCUUUCCCUGGCAAGUGACCUUAAUCCUGGUCUUCAGGGACAAUUUCUAGAGCAAGGGAAAGAGUCAUCUCAUUUGUGACAAGAAUGCC